rnacentral:rRNA from 1 species
AUUGAACGCUGGCGGCAUGCCUAACACAUGCAAGUCGAGCGAGCGGCGGACGGGUGAGUAAUGUAUGGGGAACUGCCCGAUAGAGGGGGAAAACUACUGGAAACGGAGGCUAAUACCGGCUACUAGCGGAUGAACCCAUAUGGGAUUAGCUAGGAGGUGGGGUAAAGGCUCACCUAGGCCUCGAUCCCUAGCUGGCCUGAGAGGAUGAUCAGCCACACUGGGACUGAGACACGGCCCAAACUCCUACGGGAGGCAGCAGUGGGGAAUCUUCCGCAAUGGGCGCAAGCCUGAUGCAGCCAUGCCGCGUGUAUGAAGAAGGCCUUCGGGUUGUAAAGUACUUUCAGCGGAGAGGCGUUACCCGCACAGGAAGCAACGGCUAACUCCGUGCCAGCAGCCGCGGUAAUAC